rnacentral:rRNA from 1 species
GAUGAACGCUGGCGGCGUGCCUAAUACAUGCAAGUCGAGCGAACGGACGAGAAGCUUGCUUCUCUGAUGUUAGCGGCGGACGGGUGAGUAACACGUGGAUAACCUACCUAUAAGACUGGGAUAACUUCGGGAAACCGGAGCUAAUACCGGAUAAUAUUUUGAACCGCAUGGUUCAAAAGUGAAAGACGGUCUUGCUGUCACUUAUAGAUGGAUCCGCGCUGCAUUAGCUAGUUGGUAAGGUAACGGCUUACCAAGGCAACGAUGCAUAGCCGACCUGAGAGUGUGAUCGGCCACCCUGGAACUGAGACACGGUCCAGACUCCUACGGGAGGCAGCAGUAGGGAAUCUUCCGCAAUGGGCGAAAGCCUGACGGAGCAACGCCGCGUGAGUGAUGAAGGCCUUCGGAUCGUAAAACUCUGUUAUUAGGGAAGAACAUAUGUGUAAGUAACUGUGCACAUCUUGACGGUACCUAAUCAGAAAGCCACGGCUAACUACGU